CACACACACACACAUUCGACAGACACAAUAGCCGUUUAGAGAGAUUAUAAUUUGUUAUAAAAGGUGUUUGUAAUCUUUCAUCUUUGGCGAGAAUACUGUGAUUAAACAGCAGUGAAACCGAUCUCUGGUUCUCUGUUUUUUUGCGGUGUUCCGUCCCAGAAUUCUGCAGGUGGUACGAGGGCGGGGGUCCCGAGAAGUAAGUUGACCGUUUCCGACUGGGUGAACCCCAACAAUUUGGUGGCUCAUACGGGGAUUACUAAUCAGGUGAGUAAAUUAUUUUAAUUGAUUAAUUUGAUUGGUUAGACGUCCGCUUGGUUGGUAGUAAUAGAAAAAGAAAAACCCAGUUGUUUAUUAUUUUGGUUAUGUUAUUGGUAAUCCUCGUGUAGAGGCACGGGAUGUUUUUAUUUUGGGGAUCCUCGUAGAUUUUUGUUUACGGGAUGUUUCUUGGUGAACCUCGUGGAAGAGCCACGGGAAGAUUGGUUAAACCUCGUGUAAAAGCACGGGAAGGUGACCCUCGUGAAGUGAAGGAGCUGUCACGGGAAGAGCGCGCUUUUUAUGUUAAACCCAAAAUAAUUACCCUAAUUAAUCUCGGGACUGAUUCCUUCGUGCCACCAUGGGGGGAAAAAUUGUAUUGUAUUAAAAAUUGUAUUGUAUUAAGGUACCCGGACCCCGAGAAAAAACCCACGGGAUUGGAUGAAUUGCUGUGGUUUAGCAUUCUACACAAAUUCUAGACAAUUUGGCCGGCUCAGUUUUGAUUUAUCCUCAUUCAGGUAUUUGCAAUCUCUAGGAGCUGUGUAAUGUAUCUUUAAUUGUUAUAGCAUUUAUAUAAGGCAUUACUGGAUAUGCACAAAAUAAUGAAACAACAAAUCAGUACUCUGGACAUGAACAGUCAGAACUGUUCUUGGUGUGCAUAAAUGUCAAACCUUUGGUCAAUCAAACCUGUAUAACCAACUUUAGUCCUUAUUUCCUUUAUAAGAUCCUUAUAGGAUGCAAAUUAAAAUGAUUUACCUAAAAUUUGAAUGAUAAUUAACAAUUAUAUAUCCCAGGUACUUUUUAUUCAAUAUUAAUAACAAUAAACUUUAAGAAUGAAUACAAAGCUUCAAUGUUUGACAAAAAACCACGAAGUGUAAAUGUUAUGUGCUCUUUUAUCAUCGUGGGAAUUGAUUAUAGCUCUAAAUAAAUAUUGAAGUUUUUUUCGUUAAAAAGAAUCCGUAUAACUUUAUUUGUACGCCCGUAUACUAUGUUUAUUGAAUCAAAUCCGUAAAAAAUACGGACAUUCUGUAUAUUGUGCAUUUUAAUCUCAACGAAAGCUUCACUGAAUCGAUUCUUUAGAACAAACUCGCAUGCGUGUGAAUCAAUUUACUUGAUUCACUCUUGAUUCUUGACUCAGAAACUACGGAAAUCUUAUUUGUAUUCCUGUUUUCAAAUUGUAAACAAUAAUCACACUUCAUGCUGCAUGAAAUUAAAGUAUGAACUUUCCUCAAACCAUUACGUGUGCAUGAACUCAACAAAUGCAGUCCAUGCGUCUGUAUCGAUUCGCUCGAUCGAGUCAUUUAUGUUUCGUCCCGAAAAAGAUCCGAAUCGUUUGUGAAUCUCAUCACUGUUAGAAAUCCAAGGGAAGAGAUCCUCUUCCCUUAACAUCAUCAGAGGAAAAAUCUGCUUCUUAAUCAAUUAGUUUCAGCGUUUGUACCUCUCUCUCUGGAUGUCAUCCUACAGUCUCUUCUCGAGCAAGGCGUGGUGAGAUCGUGCACCAGCUUGUACAAUACACCUGUCAAUCCAGUACCUAAACCCGAUGGUACCUGGCGUUUUACACAAGAUUUACGUAAGAUUCAUGAAUUGAUUGUUUCUUCUGUAAUGUCACAGGUUCCUGUUCAUCAUUGCUGUUUUUCCAUUAAUGAUCUCUGUUCUGCCUUUUUUUUCACGCACAUGAGGAGAUAGCGUUUGGACUCAGGGUUUCAUUUGACUCUCCUGCUGGUUUUUUUUCAGCUGUAAUUCAUAACGUGCUCUGUGACCUUCUCCCUCCCUCAGGACUAUGUGGUCUGUGUGUUCUGGUAUCUGCUGAGUCACCAGAAAUCGGCCAAGACACUGACACUUGCGCCUGCUUUAAGGUUUUCAGGACCAAGCAGCAAUAUUGCAUGGACACUUAAGUAUUUGAACUUUUGAAGUUUUGAACUUCCUCAAGGCUGUCAUUCUAGACACAAAACGCCCUGCAACUAAACAUGCACUGAUGUCUUUUCUGGGUCAGAAAAUGGAUCCCUGACUGCUCUUUAUAUAACAAGCUUCUCCGUUCUGCAAUCUCUCAUCACGAUCCACUGCAACAUCCUUUGACCUGGACUGACGCUAUGGUGGUCGCUUAUCACUCCCUCAAAAGCACCCUUCGAUCACUUCAAGCCCUUCCACCUCUAUGCCUGUGAACACCAAGGCACAGCCUCUGGGGAGCAUGGGGGGGGAUUGCAGCAUUGUGCAUUUUUAUCCAAAACAUUAGACAUUGUUGCUCAAGGCUUACCUGCGUGUCUGGGGGCUGUCUCCACAUGUGCUUUGAUGGUUUUAGAUGCGGAAAAAUUGGUUUUGUCUCACCCACUGAUCUUGCACUCGUCACAUCAAGUUAAACAGGUGUUGCAAAAUUUACAGACCCAUUAAAUUAAUUUAUCAGUAAUUUAAUUGAUAAUUAAAUUAACAUAUGACUGUUUAUUCUCUGUUCUACUAACAAUCUCGAAAUUCGUGUCACAUCCUCUUUUGAUAAUGUAGGUCGCGCUCUCGCACGCCUCCUUAAUUCUCGGGAUGAUACUUGGGAUGACAUUGAUAUUGUCUGUCUAAAAAUCGUACAUACUACUAGUAUCAGAUCUGAUCUCUCCUCCAGCCCUCUAGGGAUGGGGGAAGUACUCUUUGUCGAUGGUUCUUGUUCUAAACGGUUCUUGUUUUAUAAUUUAUGAUAUUUAUCAUACCUCUGUGGUUAUUCUGUGUGUUCAAUCAAUAUCAGUCUGAUAUUCUGCAUGAGACAUAUGCUCUUCCUUUAUCAUUUGAUUUUUGUCAUCUUGAUUGUGGACAAAUUCUCUAAAUGGGUAGAAGUUUUUUUCCUGUUUUCGAGAGAACACGAAGGUAGUUACUCGUUUUAAUACCUAGUUAUAAUAAUAAUAAUGAUACAUUUUAUUUACAAGUGCCUUUCAAGGUACCCAAGGACACUGGACAGUAAAAAAGAAAAACAAACAAUAAAAGCAGAACAAUAAAAUAACAAUAAAAUAAUAAGAAAUCAAUAAUAAUUAUUGUUAUAGUUAUGGGGUUUCAAAUGCCAUAGACUCAGACAAAGGUACCCCUUUCACCUCAAAAGUCACACAAAACCUUUGUAAGUAUCUCUAAACUAAACUGGUGUUUUCACAUUCCUCAAUCCUCUGGUAUCGUAGAACGUACUAAUCGAACAUUGAAAGACAAAUUAAUUAAGGUCAUGCAGGCCACAGGUUUGGUUCUGUAAUCCAUAAUUCAUUCUGGCUGAAAUUCGUGUGACACCAAGAAAUUAUUUUUGGAAGACUUUUCCCUCUCCCUUGGAAGAAGGGAACUCUGGCUCCGGGUACCUCUGAUUUGAAAAUGCAUAUGGAUGAGUAUUCUGCAGCCCUUAUAGAUAAGUUGCAUAAAAUUUGUACCAAGGUCAAUAGUACAAUAUUAUCUCCACCACACACCCCUUCCAAGUUGGAGACAAGUGCUGGUGUGACUUUUUAAAGUAACGAUUUGGACAAUUGGGAAAACAAUAUAGUGGGCCUGCAGACAUAGUCGCCAUUACUUCUACUGCUGUUUUAACUGAUCUUUUUCCACAGUGGAUCCAUGCCACGCGAUUGAAGAAGGCUCCAUAACAAAGUUGUGUUACAAUGACAAGUUUGCUACUAACGUUUUCUCUGUGUCCCGAGAAUCUCUGUUCUCUCUCUCUGUCUCUCUAUUUCUGAGCUCUACACAGAUUCGACUGAGAAUCCUCAAGACAUUGUGAACAAAGAGGGGAAGAGAGCUUGCGCCCUGUUUGGAACCAAUCAUCCUCACUACAACCAUGACAGUCCUCAUCACGGGUUUCGUGACUUCAUUGUUGCUCGGGACAGGGCUACCCGCCUGAGCCUUCGUGACUGCUUCAUCUUUGCUCGGGGCAGGGUUACCCGCCUGAGCCUUCUGGACCACUUCAUUGCUCGGAGCAGGGUUACCCGCUCGAGCUGGACAACAUCUUCUGGCAAUUCGCUAACUGGACUGCACAAGCGCACACCACAUGAAUGUGUUAUGUCUUUCAUCUGAUGCCAUCUUCUACUAUUAUUACACAUCUCUAUGCUCUGAAACUCUGUAUUCUUACAGGACUCUGUUUUCACUAUAGGUUGAUAUGCCUUCUAAUUUCAUUUUCCCUCACUGUUUUAGAACAAAUUACUCUGAAGGAAGUAGCGUGUAUUUGGGACGAAUUAAGAGGUUUUGAGUUUCUCUAAGCUCUGGUGAGGUGGGACGAGGGUUGAUCGGGCAUGCCCACCCUCUGAGCACCAAUAUACGUCAAGAAGGGCAAAGAUUAACUCAAGAUUAAUUCUCGAUGUAAUCACAUAUAUGAUCAUGAGGUGAUAAUGAUCAAAUAUGAUCCUAGGAUUUGAUAAUAGUGAUACUAUUAUCGAAGGGGGGGAUUGUUGGGUUCAUAUAAGUAUUAUUCUUGACCAAGAAGGCAGUAAUAUAUUUGUGACAAAAUUAAGGAUUAAUUUCUGUCAGUUAAAAUGACCUUAUGUCUCGGCUGGACAUUGUUUGGGAACAUUUUGUUUAUUUUGAUAUGAAAUGUGUAUUUUUGAUAUGAGAUGUGUCUGAAUGGCGACAGGGUCUGCGAUGAUAUCACACACACUCACAAUGGCCUUUGAUAUCACACACAACCAUAGCCAACGUGUAUUGGGAAUUAAAAGUUAGAUCUAAGAUGCAUUCAAUGAUUUAAGUUAGUUUUAUAGUUUUAAGUUAGUUUUAUAAUUACAGAAUAUAAUUUAGGGUUGUUAAGACCUUAUGAUUCUAAUGUUAAGACUUCAUGAGUUUAAUCCUGAAUCCUGUUUGACCUUUCUCUGGUGAAGUAGCAUUUCUUUGUUUUGCCAGACAUAUUCUUUGUUUAUGUUUCGUAUGACUGUCUUUGUUUAGGUUUGUUCUUAUUUACUUAUAACAUAUCUUUGUUGAAAAAUUCCGUAUGUACGUAAGCAAUGACCUUUAAAAUCUGUUUGACCUGCCCCAAGAUCAAGCUGCUCACUUGCUCGCAAGUCAACCACACACACAUACAGCUGAACAUUCCAUCAGAACAGUGAUGUAAUUAAAAUGUGACCUGCUCACACACACACACACACACACAUAGACACAGAUAUCAAAAUGAUGUCACUUACUCACACCCUCCCAUAGACACACACACACACACACCCCUCUCUGAGGUCACAUACAAACACACACACACACAUUCGACAGACACAAUAGCCAUUUAGAGAGAUUAUAAUUUGUCAUAAAAGGUGUUUGUAAUCUUUCAUCUUCGGCGAGAAUACUGUGAUUAAACAGCAGUGAAACUGA